ACGGGGUUCAAUGUUUGCUUUAGAUGGGGUUGAAGUAACAACACCAUCUUAAAGUCAAUAACUAUAUAAAAUAUUCAAGAAAAUUCAAGCUAACCCCGUCUUUUACUCAAACUCCGUCUUAUAAGAAUUCAAGAAACCAUUAGACGGGGUUAUCACUAAACCGUAUCUAUAUACUCUUAAAAAAACCAUGAUUCUUUAUCCUCUCUCCCACAACAACCUUCAUUUCCUUCUCUGUAUUCUCUGUGUAUUCCACUCCGUCCACCUCCGAUCCACUUCUGUCCCACCCUUUUUGACUACCGACCCCAAUUGCAGCCACCAUCGUUUGCAGCCACCGCCUCCACUCGCAACCUUUCAAUUUUCCAGUGUCUCGGUUUCGGUCUGUAUGUCAUAGAUAAGGAAAGUUUAAUGAAACCUAGCUGAGUUUCUAGCGGUUUCUCAUAUGUUAUUCCAGUGACUUAAGUUAGGUACAUGAUUGUGGAUAUGCUAACCUGUCAUUCUCGUGGCUGUGGUGGUGUUUCACGGCGGUUAAGCCGACUGCCGGUAGUCGGAGCAGUGGAGAUGACCUGCAGCCACCUGGCAUUAACGUUGUGGGUGGUGGUUUCCGCCCAGCAACUGCCAAACGGGCAAGGUAACAUUGCUCGAACAAUAUGCUGCUCGCGUGCUUGGUCUUCUAGGCCAAUCUCCUAUUAGCUCCAUUCAAUAUGUUGGAUAUGUUACAGUGAUUGAAAGCAAUGGUAGAGCACUGUUUUAUUGGGUUUUUAAGCCGUAAAAAGACCAAAAAGAAACCUCUUCUUCUAUGGUUGAUGGAGGUAACAAUCAAUACCCUUUGAAUUGACCUUCAUCCGCUUAUGAUAUUUAUGUUAUAGAAUUUAAUUGAAUUUUACUUCUGUUGUAGAGCUAACUUUGAGUUCCUUUAGGUGACAUUUCAAUCAUGUAUAGAUAAAGUCUUGUUGUAUUCAAAUUUAAAUAUGUUUCUUUUUUUUUCUUUAAAUUAUAUGUCAAUGCUAAAUAAGGCUUUGUCAUGAUGUUAUCUUUUUGUUAUACAAUAUUUCUUAUAUGUAAUUAACCUUGAUUCUUUUGUAACAUAAUCUUUUUGUGUUGUAAUAUACAUAUUUUUUUAAUUUA